CAGCAACCAGAGGAAACAGGUCCAAUGCUUGGGGGACUUAUCCCUACUUCAAAUGAGUCAAAAUAGGACACUUUUUGAUUCCCGUGGAAGACAAAGUAAGAGGCAAUGAUUGACUCGCUCAAGGAUUUUUCAUCUUACAUCAUGCAGGACCUGUGAAAACUCCAUCAUGGCAGACUGGGAACCGUGGCCUGUGGAUAGACAACCCGCCUCCCCAAGAUGCACCCAAAUUCCCGGCCCUGCCCUCCUCUACCGACCCCGCUUCCCGUCCAGGCCUGCCUGGAAUUGCCAAUGCAGAACCCCUUUGGCUUCUCCCACAGACCCUGCUGUUCUUGGCCGACGACACAUUUGUUCUCUCUCUUCCAUUUUGCCGGAAAGGCUCACGCCACCUUGCUCGGCUGGGCUACUCUCUCUCACCUCCGAGGCCCAGCCCAAGCAUGAGCUCACCCAGGAAGCCCUUGGCUGUUGAAGCCUCCCCACAGCCUCCACACACACGUACACUCUGCGCUCCAUAGCACCCGGCAAAUCUCUUUUUAGCUCUUCCUGUAUUGUGCUGACCCAAGUCCUUAAUUUACAGCCCAGAUUGCCUCCCCCUGUCCCCAUGGUAGGGUCUGCAAGGUCCCCCCAGUCAUCUAGACUUUAGAAGUACUUCUGCAGAGAUGGAAGUUACCCACCCCCCCAGCUCUCCUGAUUCCUGACCCUUGCCACGCCCCCUUUGUCUAUUGCAGCCCACCCCAACCCCCUUAAGGUUUCUGAGCCUACCUGGGGGCUGCAGGACCCACACUCAGUCUGCAUCCUGCUUCCCUGCUGCCCCUUGGGUCCUCACAGCAGCUUUUCCGUCUCCUGCCCGCAAGUAACAGCAGAAUACCAGACUUACCGAAGGUUUGAGGGAGAGAAGGAUUAGUCUGCAGUCAAGCAUCGUACAGGCAGCAGCUUAAAAGUAUGUAUGAAAUAGCAGUGUUCCUUAAUUCUACCAACCGUUCUCUGGCUUCAGCUAUGGCCCCCAGAGAGCGCCCUUAGAUGUCUGCCCGGGGUGAGGCUCGUCUCAUCCCGAAGCCCAACAACACAUGCGUAUUUUCUUUUCACUCACCAGUCCCCAUUCCUGCCAUUUCCCUGUGUUUCGGUCUGCAGUCCCUCCCCUCACUAAGAUCUGGGUUUGUCUUCGGGUGUCCAACACUCACGAAUGAAUAGAAGAGUGUGUCCCCCAUGGCAGCAUACUCCAGCAGCAGGAGCUCUGAAGCCAGUUUCCCGCAUCCUUAGGCAGCUGGGGUCGGCUGGAUUUGGUUUAUUUGUUUGGGAUGAAGCAUUCAGUAAAUGUUUGCUGAACGAAUGAGAGAGCUCAUGAGAGGAACUAACUGAGCUUAACAAAUAGUGAGAAAGCAGGAAAUAUUUGUUGAAGAAUAGAACGAAUCAGUGGCUUGGUGUCUGGGCUCAGUGAGAAGGCUCUAAGCCGCUUCCCAGGACAAAGGUUUCACCUCUCUGGAGAUUAUAGUUACCCCUCUCUGCCAGGUACAGCGGCACUAGGUAGAGAUGUUCUGAUAAUUCUAAGUGGGUGGUCUUUAAGCCUGGUUUGGAGAGUGGGUGGUUUGUUUUAACAACUUAAUCUAAUUUUUCUCUUCUAACAAAACUUUACAAGAAAUGCCAACACACAACAGGAUCAAAAAGAAGUGUUAAUGAAUUCAGCUUCUAGGGUCAUUUGCUGGAAUUCUGACUCCUUCAGUUACCAGUAUGUGAGAUUGCCCAAACUAUCCAGCUAAGCCUCAAUUUUCGCAUCUUCAAAAUGGGCAUAAUAAUGGAACACACAUGACAGGGCAGUUGCAUGAGCUAAUGAAUAUAACAAGGCACCUGCUGUGUGCUCAAAGGUUAGCAUUUAUUAUAUGAGCAUCUGAUGGUGGAAGAGAGGAUAAACCAGCUCCCAACCAUGGUUCAGGCGUUUCCACUGGAACCAUGUUUUAAAACUCCAGAUCUUACUAGUUACACUGUUCUGAUUUUGUUGCAGGAAGGGGGACCCCUUCCAGGGCCCGAGAGUGGGCUCUUGUCUAACA